CUUGGGUCCGGCAUAACCCCGGGAAACUGGGGAUAAUUCCGGAUAACGCACAUAUGCUGGAAUGCUUUAUGCGUCAAAUGGAUUCGUCUGCCCAAGGAUGGGUCUGCGGCCUAUCAGGUAGUAGUGGGUGUAAUGUACCUACUAGCCGACGACGGGUACGGGUUGUGAGAGCAAGAGCCCGGAGAUGGAUUCUGAGACAUGAAUCCAGGCCCUACGGGGCGCAGCAGGCGCGAAAACUUUACAAUGCGGGAAACCGUGAUAAGGGGACACCGAGUGCCAGCAUCAUAUGCUGGCUGUCCGGGUGUGUAAAAUACACCUGUUAGCAAGGGCCGGGCAAGACCGGUGCCAGCCGCCGCGGUAACACCGGCGGCCCGAGUGGUGAUCGUGA
rnacentral:rRNA from 1 species